CAGGAGGCCCAGGAGGUGGGUCAUGGGGAGGGUUGCGGUGGUGGCCGGGACCAUGGAUCCGGCGCGUGGGCUGCAGCUUGCGGUGGAGGCUUCCUCUGCCAUCGAGGACAUCGGAGGAGGAAGAAGCAGAUGGCACGGACUGGGUGGGGAUCGAGAGCGCCCGUCGACGGUGGUGGUGAUGGUGGGGACGAGUCUGGCUCGGACUGCUGCAGCAGCCAACGCACAGUCUCGCCCCUACCCUGAGUUCUUCUCCGGCCGAGCUCCCCGCCUUCCGAGCUGUCCUGAGGGCUUCCCUUCCGAGAUCCCUGUGGUCGCCGGCCUUCUUUUCAUCCGGCCCAUACCUACGGAUUCUCGCCGGUUCUCUCCGCCACCGGCCUGGGUACGCGCGCCACGGCAGGUGCGUCGUCUCCGCGUUCCCAGAUGGCCGUUCCGGUUUCCCAUCCUACCGCCACACACUGCGGUGGCCCUGCUCCGCUGCUCUGGAUGCCGACCUGGGCGACGCCUGGUCACAUCCGAGUCACACGCUGGCGCUGCUGCGCCCUUUUCUCUCUCUAACCUGUCCAGGCAAAGAUUUGAGUCGUGGACGGGGUGGCCAAGGACAAGAUCUCCAAGUUGCUUGGCCUGAACACGCUCCAAGGGUCCAAGCACGACGCCAGCGAUGUCGACGAAGAAGAAGCCGCACGCACGGGUUGGCAGGCCAAAGUCUGGGCGCGAGACCGCCCCUGGACUGCAGGGUAACGGCAAGGAGUUGGGUGACCACGGCCUGAUGACACUCAGUUUGUAGGGUUUACAGUUCCCGUGCAUAAGGCGAAGCUGUUACUGAAGUAAAUAUACGAAUCAUUCUUCUAGGUUUACUCCGGUGAGCCAACAAAUAAAGUGACCGAUGCAACCUGAAGCUGCACCGGCAAACCAGCAAGCUCCUUCACUUGACAGGGGAAAACAAAAUAUUUGUUCUUCUUUGCAAAAUAAUAUGUAUAAAUGAUCAGUGAGGUAGCGCUUGCCGAUGAAAUCAAGUUCUUGCUACCGUUGUUGAUAUAACCAUACUAUUUUUUCUGUUUAAUCACAGAGUCCUACUUGAUAAAAAAACUUAGUACACACCAUAUUCCGACAGGAAUAAAAUAUCAACAGUAAUGAAGAAGGUGAUAAAUUAAUUGGGAUCUUCCGUUCAACAUGGUGGAGCUGGCGUACAACAUCUGAUACAGGCUCUCUUUCCCUACAAUUUUAUCCGUCGACAACCAUGUUCUCCUCUUCUCCGGCUAAAGGGAUACUUGCAGCCUAGACUCCCCUACAAAUCAAAAUAGAGGAGUUCAGGCCGAAGAUCAAAUAAAAUGCACAUAUCAGGUGUGCCACCGAGGAGCCACCGAGGAGCCAUUUUAAUCGGAACUCAACACCGAAACCAUUCGAGCCAUCUAUGCUAGCCUGGGCAUGGAAAUCAUCCUCCUUUCCCGUGACAAUGAAGAUGUGACUUUGCUAAAUACAGAUUGCUCCCAAGUAGAAAUAAUCCAGAAGGUUGUCCAAGAAUAAUGUUCUAUGUUUUUAGGCCCCGGUUAGCAAGUGUGUUGUGAAUAGUAUGAAAUACAGGGAUUGCACAGUCUGCUUUAUCUUCGAUGGUGUAAUGAAAUUUGAGAUGACAUUCCAUACAUAUACCACAUGCAUGUACAUGGUUGCUCUACAUGGUUGCUCGAUAGAUGAUGUAUCUGACAAUUAGGACCAAAUAAUGUUGAAAGUAAUGAACUAGCAUUCAAUCAAAAAUAUCCUACCACUUUAAAAAUGCCACUUAUUAUUCUCCAACUCACAUUCACAUUUUUCGGUGCGGCGUGCCGCCGCGCCAGACC